UCGUGUUGUCGUGAUAUUUUUAAGAUUUCUUCAUCGCCCAAAAUAUUUAAUUUUUUAUUACGUAUUUAUAUACAUAAUAUCCGUCUUUUAUUUGUGGAGGCCUAAAAAAUGAACAGUAAUUUUUUCAUUGGCCAAGAAUAUUUAUUUUGACAUAAAAUAGAUAAAUUUGAGCAAAUAAAGUCCGUCUUUUAUAAUGGAG
rnacentral:lncRNA from 1 species